AAGGUCCUUCACUGCACCCUUAUACUGCACCGAUGUCCGCAGUCGUCCCACAACCUCUUGCCUCCUUCCAUCCGCAAUGGAAGCAUUUACAACUCCUCUGUUCGGUCAAACUCCUUUAAGGAACAAGUAUUCAAAUGACCCUCGUAAAAUAGAGAGCCUACGCUCACUUUUUUUAUUUACUCUCACCAUAAUUGUACUAAAUUUACCACUGUAUUCUCUCUCUUAUGCCCAGUACUUAACGAAAUAUAACUCGGAUCAAAUCUGUGGUAGAUGCUAAAUCGGAAACCCAGAUAUGGAAUGAUGAGCUUCGCUAUCGGUUGAACAUCUUAGAAACGUAUUUCAAGAAUGUUUUAAAUGUCCAAGCUAAUAUUAAAGACCUUAGUCCGAAUGAUGAAGGACGGGCAGAUUUGGAGGAUACAUACAUAGCAAUCAAGCUAGCCAUAAAGGAAAAAAUGGGAGGAGAUCUGAACGCCAGCAUUGUUGCGCCGGACUGCCACCCACCGCCAGUGAAGUCAUCGUUACCAAGGUUGUCGCUACCCACUUUCGACGGAACAUAUGCAAACUAUAAGAAUUUCAUUCACUCGUUCGAGCAAAUUGUUGUGCGUCUUGAUUGUCUAAUAUAGAAAAGUUUAAUUAUUUGCUGACCUGCCUCACGAGGCCGGCAUUAGAUACAAUUCAGGCAUUCCAGGCUGAAUCCAAUAAGUCAAAUCGUCAUUCUAAUCACUAAAUAAACUCGUCGUUUGCUAUCACUAAUCCGUCUUGUACACUUUGUUCUAGUUCUGGCCAUAAGAUCUCUAAUUGCGCUCAGUUCAAGGCUAUGAACAGAAACCAACGGUACGACAAUGCAAAACGCCUCGGUCUCUGCAUCAAUUGUCUUGGAAAUGGUCAUAGAGUGGCGCAAUGUUCAUCGACUCAUCGUUGCCGAUCCUGUAAUCGGAAUCAUCAUUCAUCUUUGCAUCACUCUCAGCCGCAUCAGCCACCCCAAUCAUCAGCAGGACAAUCUUCAACUACUGAACCGGUACUCCAACCAGCGCAACCCUCCUGGCAAACGGCUCAUCAAGCUGCUUCAUACUCUCAUAUGGAGAUCGCAGCAGAUGAUCAAAUUUUGUUGGCAACAGCUAUGGUUUUGGUAAAGGAUGCCACAGGUGAAUACAAACUCGGUAGAGCGUUGCUUGAUUCAUGUUCUCAGGUUAAUUUUGUAACCGAAACCUUUGCACAAAAGCUUCGCCUUCGUCGUGAAAAACACCACAUUGGAAUUCGCAGUAUAGGAGACUCCCUUACUAGUUUGAAGGCUCGUACGACUACCUCUAUUAAGUCACGUACUUCCGGCUAUCAGCUCACUCUCCAGUUUGGAAUCACAUCCCAUAUUGCCUACCAGCCAGAUAAUGAGAUCGACAUAUCGAAUUGGAACCUACCAGCUAACAAUCCAUUGGCUGACGAAUCGUUCUAUAGGACUAAACGUAUUGAUUUGUUACUGGGGACCGAAGCCUUCUAUGGAGCUCUAGCUGUUGGCCAGAUUCGCAUUGGUCCAAAUCUUCCCACUUUGCAGAAGACUCUUUUUGGUUGGGUUGUUGGGAGGUACCAGUGGCGACUGUAGAAGAGUCGAUCGACAAGAAUUUGCAGCAAUUAUGGAAAGUGGACUCAAUUGUCGAUCCAAGCGCUAGAAUGCUCCCAAAUCAUCGUCGCUGUGAGGACCAUUUCAGGGACACAACACAUCAGGAUGCCAGUGGGCGGAUUGUCGUUCGCUUGCCAUUUCAAGAAGAUCCAAGUUGUCUUGAAAGUUCCUUCGAUACAGCUCGAACUCGAUUUUUUGCCAUUGAGAGACGUCUUGCUCGUCUACCGGAAAUUCGCUCGCAGUAUAUCUCGUUCAUGCAGGAAUAUGAAAGUCUCGGCCAUAUGUCCCUCGUACUGAACCCUAACUUGGAAGAACCGCAUUAUUAUAUACCCCACCAUUUCGUUCUGAAACCAAGCAGUACCUCGACGAAGCUCAGAGUUGUCUUUGACGCCUCUUGCCGUACAACAUCUCAAAGGUCACUUAACGAUCUACUUUUAGUCGGCCCUACCAUUCAGGAUGAGUUGUACUUGCAAUUGCUGCGGUUCCGCAUGCAUAGGUUCGGCAUCACAGCCGACGUCACAAAAAUGUACAGACAGGUACUUGUGUGUGAGAAGGAUAGAAAAUUCCAGUACAUUUUGUUGCGAGCAUCUCCAAAUACGGAUCUUCAAACAUACCAACUCAAUACAGUGACAUAUGGGACUGCGUCUGCCCCAUUUCUCGCAACUCGUAGUUUGCAUUAAAACUGCUGCUGUUAAAGCUGCAUUUUAUGUUGAUGACCUUUUGUGUGGGGCUGAUGAUAUAGAUACACUCUUCAAACUAAAAACUGAAAUCACAUCAACUCUCGCUCGUGGUCAGUUUCCAUUAUGCAAGUGGCAUUCAAAUUAUCUAGGCGUGAUGGAAGACGAAUCUACCAAGGAAUUAAAAAUUUCAGAAAACUCAGUCAGCAGCACACUCGGCGUAACUUGGAAUCAACGAAGUUAUGCAUUUAGUUUCACAUUUAAUCCAAAGGAAGUCUAUCCCACUACCACAAAACGAAAAAUUUUGUCUACUGCGUCGUCGCUAUUCGAUCCAAUCGGUCUGCUAUCACCGUUAGUCAUUGUCUCUAAGAUCAUUCUUCAGGAGUUGUGGCUUUUGAAACCCGAAUGGGACGAGUCUGUCCGCCAGAAUUUAAGCCACGCUUGAAGCAAGUGUUUGGAAUCGCUGAAUUCACUGUCGUCACUAGCGGUACCUCGUUUUUGUUUGCAGCCUGAUACUAGGAGCAUUCAAAUACAUGGAUUUUGCGACGCAUCGAUUCGGGCAUACGGCUGCCUUGUUUAUGUGCGCACGGAGAAUUCGCUUGGACAGGUCACAGUGAAAUUGUUCACUUCUAAGUCUAGAGUAGCACCAGUGAAGAAACAGUCUCUUCCGAAGCUUGAACUAUGCGGCGCACAUCUACUUUCUCAGUUGUAUAACAAAGUCAAGGCCAUAUUAAGUAAACACACUAUCACAUCUUAUUUUUGGAGCGACUCACAGCUCGUAUUGCAUUGGCUGCAACAACACUCAGUCACCUUAUCGACUUUUGUUGGAAAUCGAGUGUCCGAUAUUCAGGAUUUAACGUCUGAUGGAAAAUGGCGCUAUGUGCCAACACAUCAAAACCCUGCUGAUAUUCUGUCGCGAGGCUGUAACGUGAGCGAGUUUAUUAAGUCUCCAUGGUUUUCGGGUCCUACGUUUCUAGUCGAAGAUUUACUAAACUGGCCCGCCACUGGUGGAAAUUGACAUGGACAUGGUUAACUCGGAGAAUCGGAAAAGUUUGUUUGCUGCCGUACACGAGACAAAUAAUAUCCUCAACAUCGUCGAUAAUAUUAGCUCGUACACUCACAGUCUGCGUCUCAUUGCUUGGAUGAUUAGGUUCAUAAGGAGAUGUCGGAAGCAAUCGACGUUUACCGCAACCUCACCGACGCCAGAUGAACUUCGUUUUGCUUCACAUUGCCUUAUUUGGAACAUUCAACAAACUCAUUUUGUAGAGGACAUCCGUUUACUUCAGAAGCAAAAACCAUUAAAAAGCAGCUUAAAGUUUCUUACUCCCUUUUUAGAAGUCGUGAACGGAUUCGAACUUAUCAAGGUUGGUGGACGUUUGGAAUACUAAGACCUACAAGACGGUCAAAAACAUCCGUUGCUGCUGCCUAGUCAGUCCUAAUUUGUAUGGAACUAUAUUCGCCAUUUGCAUCUUCGGAACUAUCACGCUGGACAUUAAGCCCUAGUCGCUCUCAUUCGUUUGGAGUAUUGGAUCGUUAACGCCAGAGACUUGGCACGUAGAAUUGUUCGCUCCUGUGUACACUGCGUUCGCUACAGACCGAAGCUGCUACAACAACUCAUGGGCUCAUUACCGACUACGCGACUCGCUCCUGCUCGACCCUUUGAACGCUGUGGAGUUGACUUUUGUGGACCCAUCAACACAUAUCUACGCAUUCGAGGAAAGGGACCUACAAAAGCAUACAUAGCCGUGUUCGUUUGCCUUCUCACCAAGGCCGUUCACAUCGAAGUAGUCUCUGAUUUGUCAACAAAGUCGUUCUUAAACGCAUUGAAACGGAUGGGAGGUCGUCGUAAGCUGCCGACAGACAUCUUCUGCGAUAAUGCCACUAACUUUGUAGGGGCAUCGAAUCAACUGCAGGAACUAAAAAAGUGGCACCUUAUUUCGGAGGCCUUUGGGAAGCGGCAGUCAAGAGUGCAAAGGGGCUGUUAAAUCGUACGCUGGCCAACACCAGGUUCACCUUUGAAGAGUUGAGCACUGUCGUCGUCGAGAUAGAAUCGAUCCUCAACUCGCGCCCGCUAUCGCCGCUUUCGUCAGACCCAAAUGACUAUAGCACUCUCACGGCUGGUCAUCUCUUGGUUGGCGAAUCAUUGCGAUCACUACCUGAAAGGUCCCUCGAGAAUAUCAAGCUGUCAAGUUCAACGAAUUGCGAUCGCGCACGAAGUGGACAGCACCCUCAACGAACCUCACCGAGGGCACGUUGGUCAUCAUCCAUGAGGACAACCUGCCACCGCUACGCUGGAAACUAGGCCGAGUGCAGUCUACUGUGCUUGGGAAGGAUGGACUUGUACGAGUGGUGCACAUCCGCACUGCAAAUGGAACAUGUUGCAGGCCAAUACACAAGUUGGCAAUUCUUCCGGUGGUUUGAAAGCAGUCCUUUCAACGGGGCCGGGAUGUUCGGUCAAAAUCCUUUAAGGAACAAGUAUUCAAAUGACCCUCGUAAAAUAGAGAGCCUACGCUCACUUUUUGUAUUUACUCUCACCAUAAUUGUACUAAAUUUACCACUGUAUUCUCUCUCUUAUGCCCAGUACUCAAGCAGUAAGAUUUGUAAUAAAUAGUUAUUCGAUCGA